rnacentral:tRNA from 1 species
AUAACUGUAGCUCAAUUAGGUAGAGCAUCGGUCUCCAAAACCGAAGGUUCUAGGUUCGAUUCCUAGCAGUUAUG